CUGAAUUCUGUUCUACCGUCUUCUUGAUUGUCUGUAACUUAAAACUCUCUUUGCUGCAAACCUCACCUGGAUGUCUUAACAUUUUGGCUUGCUGUGCAUCGGGAAAAGCGAACCUUGUUUAAAAGAAGCAGGAGUAGGGACUCGAAUAUUCCCACCCAGGAUCUGGGUGCUGGUCCUUGGUAGAUUCUGCUUCACCCAAGCUGCAUGGGAGAGUAAGAAGAAAAAGAGGAAGAAAUGAGGAAAGCGGGGAGAAAAGGAGAUGGCUAUGGAAAUGGUGUUAGACAAAAAGAAAAUCUGGGCAGUUUUCUUAUUUGGAUUCAAAUGAGUCGUAAAGCAGCAGAGACAACUGGCAACAUCAACAAUGCAUUUGGCCCAGGAACUGACAACGACGUCCAGUGCAGGGGUGGUUCAAGAAGUUUGGCAAAGGAGACAAGAGCCUUGAAGAUGAGGAGUGCAGUAGCUCGCCUUGGAAAGUUGACAAUGACCAACUAAAAAUCUUCAUCAAAGUUGAUUCUCUUAACAGUUACACAAGAAUGUGCUGAAGAACACAACAUUGACCAUUCUACAGUCGUUCAGCAUUUGAAGCAAAUUGGAAAGGUGAAAAAGCUCGAUAGGUGGGUGCCUCAUGAGCUGACUAAAAUUAAAAAAAAAAACUUUUGAAGUAUCAUCUUCUCUUAUUCUACGAAACAACAACAAACCAUUUCUCAAUCGGAUUGUGACACGUGACGAAAUAUGGAUUUUAUAUGACAACCAGCAACAACCAUCUCAGUGGUUGGACCUAGAAGAAGCCCCAAAGCACUUCCCAAAGCCAAACUUACACCAAAAAAGGGAUCAUGGUCACUGUGUGGUGGUCUGCUGCUGGUCUGAUUCACUACAGCUUUUUGAAUUCCAGCAAAACCAUUACAUCUGAGAGGUAUGCUCAGCAAAUUGAUGACACGCACCAAAAACUGCAAUGCCUGCAGCUGGCAGUGGUCCACAGAAAGGGCCAAAUUUUUCUCCACAACAAGGCCUGACUGCAUGUCCCACAACCAAUGCUUUAAAACUUGGAUGAAUUGGGCUACCAAGUUUUGCCUCAUCUGCCAGGCUCACCCGACUUAAUGCCAAUGAACUACCACUUCUUCAGGCAUCUUGAUGACUUUUUGCAGGGAAAACACUUCCACAACCAGCAGGAGGCAGAAAAUCCUUCCCAAGAGUUCAUGGAAUCCCAAAGAACAGAUUUUUACACUACAGAAAUAAACUUAUUUCCUGUUGGCAAAAUGUGUUGAUUGUAAUGGUUCCUAUUUCGAUUAAUAAAGAUGAAUUUGAGCCUA